CCUACGGGUGGCAGCAGUGGGGAAUAUUGGGCAAUGGGCGAAAGCCUGACCCAGCAACGCCGCGUGAAGGAAGAAGGCUUUCGGGUUGUAAACUUCUUUUGACAGGGAAGAGCAGAAGACGGUACCUGUCGAAUAAGCCAUGGCUAACGACGUGCCAGCAGCCGCGGGACUACGUAGGGGGCAAGCGGUGUCCGGAUGUAGUGGGUGGAAAGGGCGUGUAGGCGGGCGGACAAGUCAGAUGUGAAAUCCGGGGGCUCAACCCCCGAACUGCAUUUGAAACUGUUGGUCUUGAGUAUCGGAGAGGCAGGCGGAAUUCCUAGUGUAGCGGUGAAAUGCGUAGAUAUUAGGAGGAACACCAGUGGCGAAGGCGGCCUGCUGGACGACAACUGACGGUGAGGCGCGAAAGCGUGGGGAGCAAACAGGAUUAGAUACCCCAGUAGUC
rnacentral:rRNA from 1 species